AUGACCGACUUCCUUAUAAUACAUCCAUGUGUCUUUGAAGUUAUAAGAAAUGCAGCUAAAAACAAUAGAAAACUCUGCUAAAGUUAAUUAUGUGUUUCCACGUGUUAGUUUUAUGUUGACAAUAUAAACCACAGUGUGUUUAAAAAAGAGAGUACGCCGCCUGUCGCAGCGCGUGCACCGUGGCCUGACACGUCUGUCUACAGUCCUUUGAAGACAUGUCAAGACUUUGGAGGAGGUCUCAGAGCCAUUGGAGGAGACGAUUUCAAAGGCAACCAUUUUUCGGUACUGGUUAGCGAGGUCAGCCCCCGGGAGCCCAGAACCUGUAACCGCACUAGGAGGCUGUGAACUGAACAUCUACGUCGUUUGUCCCCUCAGAAGGACGGCCGACUCUUCCAGAGACAGAAGCUGGGCUGGACUGUGGUGGAGAGGAGGGAGUUUCGCUGCAGUGAUGUCAUCCAGGUGUUUCCUGUCCCGCUCUCUCCUGGCCUGCACAGAGAGCGGUGAUGAGCCUUUAGAAGACUGG